UUGACCUCAAAUCAGGUAGGACUACCCGCUGAACUUAAGCAUAUCAAUAAGCGGAGGAAAAGAAACUAACAAGGAUUCCCCUAGUAACUGCGAGUGAAGCGGGAAGAGCUCAAAUUUAAAAUCUGGUGGUCCUCGCGGCCGUCCGAGUUGUAAUCUGGAGAAGUGUUUUCCGCGUCGGACCGUGUACAAGUCUUCUGGAAUGGAGCGUCGUAGAGGGUGAGAAUCCCGUCUCUGACACGGACCGCCGAUGCUUUUGUGAUACGCUCUCGAGUCGAGUUGUUUGGGAUGCAGCUCAAACGGGUGGUAAAUUCCAUCUAAAGCUAAUAUUGGCGAGAGACCGAUAGCGAACAAGUACCGUGAGGGAAAGAUG
rnacentral:rRNA from 1 species